GGGGUUAUAGCUCAGAUGGGAGAGCGCUUGCAUGGCAUGCAAGAGGUCGGCGGUUCGAUCCCGCCUAGCUCCACCA
rnacentral:tRNA from 1 species